rnacentral:rRNA from 1 species
UUGCUUUAUGUAUAUUAUUUAAAGUUUAACCUGCUCCAUGAUUUAUAUUAAAUAGCCGCAGUACAUUGACUGUGCAAAGGUAGCAUAAUCAAUUGGCUUAUAAUUGAAGUCUAGUAUGAAAGGGAUUCCGGAAAAAAGCUAUCUAACAGCAAGUUAUAUAUAAUUUAUUUAGUGCGUGAAAAGCCGCACAUAUAGAAAAAAGACGAGAAGACCCUAGAAAUUUUUUAAAAGUUCAGUAAAUUCUAUUUUGUUGGGGCGACAUAGUAACACUUAACCUACUAUAUUAACAUGCUACUUAUAAGACGUAAGAUAAAAUUACUCUAGGGAUAACAGCAUAAUUUAUUAUUAAGUUUGUGACCUCGAUGUUGGACUAGGAAAUAUUUUAUCUAGAAGAUAAGUUAUCAGGCUCUGUUCGAGCUCUAUUCUCCUAC